rnacentral:rRNA from 1 species
UACGGGGGGAGCAAGCGUUGUUCGGAUUUACUGGGCGUAAAGGGCGCGUAGGCGGUCGUGACAAGUCACUUGUGAAAUCUCCGGGCUUAACUCGGAACGGUCAAGUGAUACUGUCGGACUAGAGUACAGAAGGGCAACUGGAAUUCUCGGUGUAGCGGUGAAAUGCGUAGAUAUCGAGAGGAACACCUGCGGCGAAGGCGGGUUGCUGGGCUGACACUGACGCUGAUUGUGCGAAAGCUAGGGGAGCGAACGGG